ACUGCUGUGGUUGAAGGAGGAGAAAUACAGCUUUUGCUUUAACCAAAAAUUAGAUAACACUAAAAGAUAUAGAAAAGGGAUGGGUUUGGCUACACGAGAUUAGAUUCUUAGUUGGUCUAUAUAGAGCCAGUAAGGUUUGCAGGAUGUGGAGACUUAUGAGUUGAUAUUCGAGAAAACAGACAGAAAUCCCUAGUUUCAGUACCAGCUAAAGCUAUCUCCUACUGCUGAAAAGUUGAAGGCUCGAACCGAUUUGUACAUACAGAACAUAUCAGAGGAUGAACAACUAAGAAUGGCAUUAGAGCAAAGUCAGUGUACGGUGGAGAACCAGACUGCAUUAAAAGUGUUACCAUAUAAGGAACCGACGAGUCACGUGAUGAAUAAACAGGCACCAUUGAGACGAGAUAAACCCAUAUCUGAAUUGUCAGAAGAGGAACAGAUUCAAAGAGCUAUAGAAGAAAGCAAGUUGUUAUUAAACAAUCAACACCAUCAUAAUUGUGACAAGAUGGAUUUCGAGACAAACAAAGAAAAUUGGGUUAAUUGGUCUGAGGAUUGCAGGCCAAUUGGAUGGAACUGAUAGACAUUCUCCAAAUAGUGAGUCUGUUUAUGAAAGCAGUGGAAACACAUCUUUUUCGUGUAUGAAAAGAAAGAGUUUGUCUGGUGAUAAACAAAAGCGAGAGCUAGAACAGUGUGGAGCCGAUCAUUGAAUUAGUUGAAGACAAUAGCCCUUCGAGUCGCUCGAGGAAACGACUUUGCUUAGAUACACCAAGCACAGAACAGCUGGCUACGCAACUGAGUGGAGAAUACUUUAGUGUCACACCUGUUCCGCCAUUUACUUUGUCAGACAGCGAUGAAGUUGAAGAGUUCUCUAAAGCCAUGUUUAUUGAUGCCAGUAGUGGCAAGCAAGAUGUUGAUGGAAAUACGCCAACGGAGGCGAGUAGGGAGAGCUUGCAAGAUACUGACAGCCAUGAAACAGAAAAGAAGAACUUAGCUAAAGCCAUGGCUUGCAGCUUGGCUGAACAUCUGAACAUCAUGAUAUGAUGACCGAGGAAGAACAGUUAAAACAUGCUUUGAGUCUGAGCUUACAAGAGUGUGGAGAUGUAGAGUGUUUGGAUUUGGGUGAAAGCAUUGAUGAUGAGAUGAUACCGGACAGUGAAGUAGAACCAAAAAUUGGCAAUGAAAGACAUGCCUAUCGUCUGGUUAGUGUGGUGAGUCAUAUCGGAAUGGGUUCAAGAACAGGGCAUUACUUGUGUGAUGUAUAUGAUCCGACUGCAAAAGUAUGAAAAAGCUGUGACGAUUCUACUGUUAGAGAUAUUGAGAAGUUGGAGGUUCGACAGAAGAGAAGUACGACUGGCUACAUAUUCUUCUAUAUGCACAAAAAAAUAUUUUCUGCCAUUGACAUUAAGAAGUCCUGAAGAUUGUUAUAUUGAUUUGAAUUCUUUUGUAAUAAUGAGAUAGUAGAACAAAAGGAUUAAUAGGCGACCGUUACAA